AGGAAUUUCUCUUUCAUCUUCUGGGCUGUCCAUCUCCCAUCUACAAUUUGCAGAUGAUAUUGUUAUCUUUAUGGAGCCUAUUUUGCAGUACGCUAUGGUUGUUAAACAACUUCUUAGCUGCUUUGAGCUUACAUCUGGUCUUUGAAUUAAUUUCAAUAAGUGUUAUGUUUAUCCUGUCGGCAAUUCAAAUUCAUCAGCUCUAGAGUUUGCUUCCAUCUUCAGUGUUUUGUGGGUUCGCUACCUUUCAACUAUCUCGGCCUUCUUCUUGGUGCUAACCCCCGUUCUGCUCGUACUUGGGAUCUUGUUAUUAAUAAAUUUAGGCAAAGACUUGCUUUAUGGUAGCAUAAGUACCUAUCCUUUGGUGGUCAUUCUGUUCUAAUUAACUCCGUUCUUAACUCUUUACCGUUAUAUAAUCUAUCUAUUUUUCGAGCCCCCAAGGGAGUUAUUCAAAAGCUUGAGAAACUUAGGAGAGCAUUCUUGUGGGGUGGCAAUGAUCACUCUCGUAAAUUACAUAAGGUUAAUUGGAACACUGUAUGUAAGCCCAAGAUUUUUUGAGGUUUAGGUAUUUGCAGUCUUUGUCAUAAGAUUUGGCUUUUUUAGGCAAUUGGUGGUGGUACUAUGGCACUGAAGAAAAGGCUCUAUGGCAUCGCUUAAUUAUUGGAAAAUAUGGAAUCGAUAAAGUUCAGUGAAUUCCAAAUACUUCUUGGAGAAAUAAAAUGUCAACGGUUUGGAGAUGUAUUUCUCAACUCCCAUCCAAUGAUAAGGUUCGUAAUUUGAUUGGCCUUCAUGCAUGUCGUUGGAUUGUUGGGAAUGGGGAAUCUAUUUUUUUCUAGUAUGAUAAAUGGCUCUUUAAUGAUGUUUUAUGCUCUUGAUUUCCUAGCCUUUUCUCUAUUGUUGUGGACAACGAGUUCAAAGUUGUUGAUUUGUGGAAUAAUGGUACAUGGUUCAUCCCUUUUAGAAGAUCGUUGUAUUCUUGGGAAAUGGAUUCUUACAACGAAAUUCUUUGUAAACUUGCCAAUGUUUUUCUUUCCAUCGGGAAAAGUGAUAAGCUGAUUUGGGUUCAUGACUCAUAUGGUAAUUUUUCUAUCAAAAAAUUUUGCUCAUUGUUGGAUUCGGACCCUUUUGAUUAGAAAGUUCGGUUUCAUUCAUUGCGGAAGAUUAUAAUCCCUCCGAAAGUCAAAUGUUUUCUCUGGCUUGCUAUCCUCAAUUCAAUUCCCACGAAGUCUUUCCUAGCUACCAGAGGAGUGUUAUUUGCUGAGAGCCAAAAUCAUUGUGUUUGGUGUGGUCAGGAAGAUGAAACUUGCUCCCACGCCUUAAUCAAUUGUUUCUUCAGCUAGAAGGUCUAGUGUCUUAUCUUGAAUUAGUGGGGUGUUUCUUGGUCUUCCCCUAAUACUGUUUUUCUUUUUAUUUUUUAUUCAGUCUUGGGCAAAUUCUUAUUUUUCUGGAAUCUCUCGUAAAAGGUGGCUUGUUUGUGGGGUGACAUUUUGGUUUUUGUGGUCAGCACAUAACGAACCUAUUUUUUCUAACAAAGUUUGGGAUGCUUAUCAAAUCUUAUUCCUUAUUCAAAUGCGAUCAUUUCUUUGGAUUCGCGUUUGUGAGGGUAUUGAUUGUAUUGAUGAAUUUGGAUGGUGGACAGAGCCUUCUAUAUCUUUUUUUGGUUGAACCCCUCUUCAUCAUCGAAUUGGCAUCUCUAGGCAACCGCCGAAUGAUGGUAAAUUACUUUAUUGGAAGCUAAGUAUUCAUUUCUUCCGAAAUAUGGACGGAGCAACUUAAAUUUAAUGGGGACAGAACUACAAGGAGGAGUCCGAGAUGCUUAUGGAUGAGCAAGGAAGAGUUCUCGUAACAUUUUCCAAAGCUAUUGGGGUAAGAGAUGUUGAAAGGGCAAAGCUUUUAGUUAGGGAGAGAUUUAUGAGCUUGUUAACUUGGAUAAGGAAGGACGAGAACCACUCAUCACCAUUGUAUGAAAUUAAGAAAAGGU